CAGUUCUCUGGGUAACCCUAAGGGGGAUUAGUUCCUUCAAUGAACAAAGUUUCUAAUUCUACACUAAGCUCAUCCUUUGGGACAUCAAUCUCAUCCCCUGGUUCUUCCCCAAGCUUCUUCCACCAAGGUGCUUGUAAGUGCUUUAAGGUGGUGAGAUGGGCCUGCUUGGCCUUGGCUGCCACAGGCCUGGACCUACUGAUGAAGAGCUCAGGUUCUUUCCCUUCUGCUUCCUUCAGACUUGGUGCUCCUGUGAUAAACAGAAAAAAGUAAGUGAAUGGAAGUCUUUUCCCAAGCAAGUAGAAAGGCGGAGAUUACAGAAUCGGAACUCUUUUAUACCACCAGGGAAACGUUUCAACUCUGAACCUGUUAUCAUUGCUAGCUGUAGAUGGGGAAGACUGAUGCCAACACACAUGGAAAUCUCUGAGAGACGCCAAACCUGCAGAUGUCGAAAGGAAACCAAGACCUUCUCGUAGAGCCAACACAC